AAACAUUAGAAAACUAUUUUUCUUAAUAUAUUUUUUUUCCUUAUUACUUUCCAACCAAACAUAGCCUAAUUUAUUAAGAAUAUGAAGAGGCAAUAACUGAUCUUCCUGCAUUCAAGACUGCAUAUCUUUAUUACCCUGAUUCGAAUUUCACAUUUUACAUUGUUUUGCAACCAUAAAAUGAGUUCAAAACUUCACUCCCAAAGCAUUUCAUUGUGACUUCAAAUGGAGAUACUGUAUGGAACUCCCUUUCCUGUCACACCAGCUCCAGAAAAUGGCUUCAGAAGCUCAUAUGGAACCACUCCAGCUCCGUGUCUGUUCUUCAAAUUCUUGUCUUCAUUCCUAGCAUCAAUGAUUCCUUCAAUUUCUUUCAACCUUCCAGAAAACCGUUCAAAUGCUGCCUUUAUUAAGGGAUCUGCACCCCAUGCUGGCUCCAAAUGCUCCCCUAGGUAUUCCUCAUCUGGAGAAUGACUUGAUAACACAUCUAAAACAGUCAAAACUUUUGCUGCUUGAAGCUGUGUAGGCAGGCAUGCCAAGAGUUCAUUCUCAGGUUUGUGCAAAAACCGGCGCCAUCCUUCUUCAGUUGGGUCCUCAGAAGGGAGGUUGGUCCUGGCAAUAGUAGGCCUAUUGGGGAAGUAACCAGCAUAAGCAUAUUGUCCAAAGUUGACGGCAGCAUGGUGCCCAGACGUUACCCAUACCAUAGUUGUGACAAUCCCAAUUAGGUCUUGGGGUGUUUUGAGGUCUGGCCACCAUGUUUCAUCUUUCUUGUCCUCAUGGCCUCUUGUUCGGAUUUCAGUCCACCAUGCUUGAAGCUCUGCAUCAGACUUCACCAUGCUCGCAUCCUUGUAGAAGAAAUUGACAUAAUCGGUAACCCAUUCUUUUAUGGCAUCCCACAGGAGGAGACCAUCAUUGGCAAAAGGAUAAUCUGGGAUUGCUAGCUUUAGGCCAUGUGGAGAACUUGGGUCCUCAACAGCAAUUCCCCUGGCAUUACCAAAACAAAAUUGUUAAUUAGCAAGGAGACUCGGUAGGAAUUGAAUCUGUUUUAGCCCUCUCUUCCUCACAAAUAAACCAUUAGUUUAUCAUCUAGGAAACGGCCAACAAUGUAAAUCAACUAGUAUUAGUACUCUAAUGACCAAAAGAGAGCAUAAUGACAAAAUCGUUUUAGGGCAACUAUGACCAAGAGUGAAUUCACCGAUUAGUAUAAGUACGAUAUUGCAAGCUUGCCCUCAAAAAUUUAUAUUUGCCAUAAGUAGGAUAACUUGGGGGAUUCUGGCUUAAUAUGUACCUGCUUAUUAGGUCUGCUGGCAGUCCUUGUGUAUCAAAGCGCCACUGCAGGCCAUAGGCAGCAGAGCUGAUCUCAGUAGAAUACUUUCCGGGUGUGAAUGCGGACUCAAUGAUCCCAUCAGCAUUGAUGAGAGCUUCUCGAGCAAGAGCAUUGAUCUCCAUUGUGUACCGGAAAUGAGGGUGUAACAGUCUAUAGAUUGGGUGCAUUGCACUAAGUUGUCGAUUCGUUGCAAUUAUAUAAGGUUCUGUUACACAGUGAGUUCUCAACCUGCAAAAAUAAGCAAAGGAGGUCUCAUGUUAGCUCACCGACAUUCAUGAAGCUUAGUCUGCAAAAAACUUCUCUGAAAAUGUUUUCCAAAGAGAAGUGGAAAAAAAUGAAGAAAUAAAUUAAAGAAAAAAAAUUGAUAAGUUUGUUUUAAGUGCAAAUAAUUCUCCAGGCAUUAUUCUGAGAAGAAAUGAAAGGCAAUGGCAUUUACCAGUGACUAACAAGCUGGUGAUAACCAGCGUCAUGAGCAAGGAAAUGAGUUUUAGCAAGUUUCCAGAGCCAGGAACCUGUGGCUUCCCAGCUAGGCGUAAACACUUGCUUCCACUGCGGCUUCCCAUCCAUGGGUGGUCGGACGAGUUCGAUGGCCAGCGGCUUCAAUGUGUUAUCAGGGCCUAGGAAGAAAAGUGCCCUUGAUCCAUACAGCGUUGUCCCUUUGAUUUGCCUUACUUCGCUCACGUAUGGCAAUAAGAUGUCAUGAUAAUCUAUGAUGAACAGCUUCUUUUGUUUUAGUGCCUGCAUUCAUUCAUGUACUCACUUUUACAUAGUUCAACUGGGAGAAUGAUAAAGAGGAAGAAGAGACAAAGAAGAGAAGUACAUACCUCAUCAACGGUCAUGAAUCCUUUGAUCUCUCGCUCGACUAUCUCCGUGGUGAUUGCAGAUUCAGGGGGACCAUAGAUCUUAGGAUCGAGUGUGCUCUUCAAUGGCCAUUCCUGCGUGAUUUAAUGCAACUCUUUUGUCAUACAUGGAAACUGAUAAGUUCAUUGUAAUAUACAUCAAGCUAGAGUGAUUAAUAUUUAACAAUAUAUGAUCCUGAAGCAAAUUGAUCAUUUUCAUACCUUAACCAAUUGUAUACUAUAUGGAUUGAGACCGGCAAGAGUCUGGCGUGAGAACUCCUCAUCCCUAAACCAAGAAAAUUUGUCCCCUGCAAAUGCAAAAACACAUGAGAUUGAGAGAAGUCUUAAAAAGGGAGUAUAGAUCUUGAUGAGUAAAGGUCUUUUUCUUACUGAGCAACAGUUGAGGGGUUUCAAAUUGCAGGAGACUAUCUGUAGAAUUAGUGAUGGCCCUCACUAGUCUGGGCAGUAUAUCUUGCAAAACCUUAUGCUUUUUAAGAUUAGGAACAUUGAUUCCUUCAUUGUAUAACUCGUCUAUUUUGGUGAAGAGUGGAAAUCCAAGACUAGUGUCUGUAAUCACUGACUCUAUUGCCGGCACCACAGCGUGCAACGCUGAGUAUAACGUAUUUGUAGAGAAUGUUAGCUCCUUCACGUCCGAAAAUGCUUCGUCCCUUGGCACAUAGACGGUUGAACUCCUUGUCUCUGCUUUCGGGUCUGCAUGUAUCGAUGGCGGUUGCCCAUAUGAGUAAAUUAAGUUUAAAUCAAACAAUUCUGAAUGUACAUAUUUUGUUGUCAAAGUUUAAGUUUAAGUUCUGAUUCUCGUACCAAUCUUAGACAUUGGACGCCCCGUUCUACAUCGUCUUGGGUAGGGAUACUGCUUGCUACCACCAAGUACCGGUCGAGUCAGUUCAGGACUGCUGUCUGGAUCACCCAGAUCAUCGUAUACAUCAUAGUCAUAGAUUCUAUCAUAUGACUUGCGCUCUCCUUGACCAUUACCUCGCAAGGUUACAAGCUCUUUUUCUCUUAUUUCUUUGAGUCCACUUGGUGUUUCCAAUGGUAAGUAUGACUACACAAAACACAGAUAAGUAGAUUAAAUCCUAAAAAGUACGAAACAUCAUGGAUGAAUGAGGUAUUGAAACCUCAUAAUAAUCAUUUUCAUAAUACUUUAACUGUCGAAUAUUUGAAAAUCAAUUAUAAAUAUCAAAUCUUAAAAAUCCGGCUUGUAAAUAUCAAAAAUGAUUUAAAAAACUUAACUAGUUUUGUGGUUCAAUGAGCAGUGCUGGUUACUUUCGAAAGCAUGGUUAUAAGAUCAUGUUUGGAUGUAUUAACCGAUUUGAGGACUACUUCCAUACACUUGUGAGGACUACUUCCAUACACUUGUGAGGUAUUAGCCAUUAGAUUGACUUUUGUAUCUUCUUAUUCUUCUCAUCUAUCCAGCUUUUGAAAGCAACCAUUACUGCCUGUGGAGCCACACGCCUUGAUUUUGUUCCACAGACAUAUCGCUCUACCUAUUGCCUAAGCCUUGACUCCAAUAUCCGGCUACCUCCACCAUAUCAACAUCGGUGUAGGCAGAAAAUGUGUCACACCAAUAUUUGUGGCAAAUAAUAAUAAUAACUUAGGAGGUAUAAGAUAAAAUUUAAUAUUUAUUGUUUAAUUAUAAUCUAAAUUAAAUUUAAAUUAAAUUAUAUUUAAAUUUAUUAACUUUUACUUAUUUUAUAAAAUUAACUUAAAAUUUAUUUUAUAUCAUCAAAUUGACAUAUUUAUUUUUAUAAAUUAUAAUUAGAAUAAAAAAAGUUGAAUAACAACCUGAAAUAAUAAUAAAAAUUGAUAAAAUGAUUAAGACAAAUGGAGGUAAAAAAAUAAAAUAAAAAUAUAAACUUAAAAUAAGCUAAUUAUUUCUACUUAUUAUUUAAAAUUAUUUUUUAUUUUAAGUCAUAUCAUUAUAUUAUUUUACUAAACAUACUUAAUUUAGUUACUGAUUUAAAAUUAAAUUAUUAAAUCACUUUAAACUACUAAUUUGAUUUAUCAACACCUAUUUAAUAAAUGAUUUGAACUUAUUUUUAAUUUGAAUGGUUGAUAUUAUAAUUAAAUGAUAUUAAGUUAUAAUAAAUAUAUAUAUUAAUACAAAAAGAAUUAAAAAAAAAAAAAAAAAAGCUUCUUGAUUAAUUUUUAUUCUCCAAUUAAAAGUGGCUUUUGAUAUCACAUAAAAAUAAAAAAAAAUAAAAAAGCGCACACACACACACACCAAAAAAUGGGACAUCAAAAGGACUGAUUCAUUGUGGCUUGUGGUCCUGAGGAGACCCUCUGAGAGAAAAUUAUGGGAAAAAUAGUGGUUUUGUAAAGCCGGAUCCAAUCAAAUAAACGGACUCCGACUCAUCACUGAAAAUGAAAAGAAAACGAAGCAAAAGAAGAAUCAAAGCUAGAUUGAAAAGUAGUAGAAAGGACGAAGCAUGUGAUAAGUGUCACUUGAGGGCCACCCGAUGGUGAAAUUAAAGCCUUGGGACCAGUUUCGCUUUAACCUGUCCUACACAGAUUUUUAGGGACCAUAUGUUCGAACCAACAGAGGUAUUCGAUGGAAUUAAAGAACAUUUAAAUUCAUGAGAGGUUGUGGAACAGAUCCGAAAGAAAAAAAAAAACUGAGAUUUUUAAAACAAUUCAUUAAAAUCCUUCAAUAUUUUCAAAAAUAGUUAUCUAAAACGAUUUUGGGUAUGUUUGAUUGUUGUUUUUGAAAACUAUUUUUUGAAUAUUUAAAAAAAAGAAAAAAUUGUAUUUGGAAACUGAAUUCUGAAAAACAGUUUUUAUUUUCAAAAACAAAAAAUAUAUAUUUGAUUAAAUUAAUAAAUAAAAAGUUUAGAAUAAGUAAAACAUAAAAUAUGUUUUAAAAUUAUUAUUUUUAAUUCAUAAAGUGUUUUCUUCCAUUAACUUGAUAUUAUAAAUAUAUAAAUAAUCUUCGGAUGCACAAUUUAUUUAAAUUAAAAAAAAUUAUUUUAUUUUAAAAUUUUUACACCAAUUAUAAUUUUCUUAAAUAAAUGAUGACUUUAUUAUUAUAUAUAAGUAUAUUAAUUUCAAUAAUUUAAGAAAGAAGAAAAGGUUUACUGAUGGGGUGUGAUGGUUGGGUGGAACUCACCUUUGUAAAAACAUAAAAACAACUAAGAAAACACAAAAAGAAAUAAAAGAAAAUACGAAAAACAAUCUAUUUUUUGAACAAUAAAAAUAUUUUUUUUAUUGUUCUUGAAAAAGUGAUUUUUGAGAACACAAAAAACAAAAACACAUCCCCUUCUUCAAACAAAUUUUUUAUGUUUUUUGUUUUUAAGAACAUAAAACAAUUCUUGAAAACAAGAACCAAACCGACCUUUUUAUUCUUAAAAAAAAAAUAAACUAUUUUAAAAAAUUUUCUUUUAAUAUUGUUUAGUUUAUUUCAUUUAUUUUUUGAGAUCGAUUUUAAAAAAUAAGUAUAUACACGUAUAAAAUUAUUAAAAAUAAAAUAUUAAAUUUAAAAUUUAUUUUUAAAUUAUUAAAAACUAUGUUAAAACCAUUUCAGGUUUUUAAAUAAAUUUUUAUUUUAUAAAAUAUAAAAAAAAAUGUUGUAAAAAAUUAUUUUUCAAAACUCUUUCCGUUUUAAUUAAUCUGGAGUCGUGUAGCACCAUGAAACAUAGGGUAAAAAAAAUUAUCAAUGCAAGUAAUGAAGAUGGUUGAUGGCUAAUUACCUUGUUGGUGAAGAAGACCCUCUUCUGAGGGUCAUCAAACUUGGAAGCAACCCAUGAACUACAGUUGAAUUCAAUGGGGCCAUUUGGGAAGCCAUCAAGGACUAUGUACCUCAGGUACAUCUCCUUGUGGUGCUCAUUCUGAACAAGAACCGCACCAAUCUCCCCAAAAUCAUCAGGAAUCACAAAGUCUGAUUCAUAUGUUACUUCCCCGUCCUUUUCGGCAGCCCGAUGAGCAUAUGCGCCGAUGGGUUUCUUCUCUAAGCCCGUCUCUUCACAAAAAUCAUUAACGAAAAUAUCAGUACUUAAUCAGUGGAUUUUACAGUUCUAACAAACAGGCGAAAGAGCAUUUGAUAGAGAAAAGAAUAUGUGGAAAAGUGUUUUGUCUUUUCAGCAUUAUCAAUUGCUCUGAAAAUGGAGGUAUGAAAUCAACACCAGCCUAUAGUAUAGAAUUUAGGUAUGGUGAAAUACUUACUGGGGUCAACCUCUGAACUGACGACCUCCAAGAGGAGUGUUUUACCAAGCCAGUCAGAUACAUCAUCGAGCCCAUGGCUCAACCCUAUCAGGCUAGACAAGAACCCUCCAACUGUUAAUUUCACAGUAACAGUGGCCUUAACAGAUACGGACUUCCGGGUAUCAGUAUCACUAGCAACUGCUUUAAUGUUGGCAGGGACGUAGCCAACCCUAACAUUCCUGUACUUUUUUCGGAAUUCCGGCCUCGGCCUGACGGAAAAUGAAGCAGUUCCGGGGCCGGGAAUGCACGGUUUGUUCAACAGGAAGAAGGUCGGGGCAGUGUGUGACUGGUGGACCUGAGUCUUGAACAUAUCUCCAGCAGGGAGAAUGGUAGAUGAAAGGCUUAAUUCGCUUUAGGUAUGAAAUCUCUGGGGGCUAAUAUCUCUUUAUAUAGUGGAAAUCGGUGAGGAAAAGCCAUGGCUUUCAGGAGAUAUUCCACAUGUUCAACGAUGGAAAAUAAAAACUUAGAUGAAGCGUAUUACUAGAUGAAUUUUGUCCUCAUAUGCAAUAAUUCGAUCCAAGAUGCCACAUAAAGAUUAUUGUUCACAUUUAGAUAAGGAUUUCUAAAGUAUGAGUCUCCGAUUUAUCUGUGAACAUAAAUUUUUAGGACAUUAGCAUAUUUUCAUUCAGACUAUCAAUUUUUAUAAGAUUUAGAUUCAAUAUACAUAUCAUGCUCCUUUACAUCCUCGCAGAGGAUUUGAAUAUAAAUAUACAUAUCAUGCAUGAACACAAGACUUCUUAUUAAACUAAACUCUGAUACCAUAUUAAAUUAUCAAUUUUUCUAAAAAAUUAAGUUUAUAAAAUUUGGGUUCAAUAUAAAAAUUAUACUCCUCAACAAUUUUAACAAUUGUAUUGACCUAGUACAACGAUUUUGUCACAAUAGUGAUGCAAUGUAGAUUAGCCAUUGGAUUUGGGCAUGUUAUGAAGGUUCAACUCAAUAUGUUUUAUUAUUUUUAUAGUACGUUUGGAACAUUGAGAAAGCAUGGAAUUAGAAAUUGAAUUUAUUUUUCAUUUAUUACAACCAAUUUUGAAUCAUAAUUAUAAAUGACAAUAUAAAUCAAAUAUUUACUUAGACUAUAUUUGGUUGCCGAAAAAUAUUUAUAAAAGAAAAAAAUGUUAAGAAAAAUAGUUUUCUCAUAUUUAAUUUUAUCAUAAAAAAUUCGAAAGAAAAUCAAAUAUAAUUAAAAUUAAUUAAAAUAUUAUAUAAGUAAACUAAGUAAAAUGAAUUUUUUUUUUAAAACAUAUAAAACAAUUUAUGAACUUUGAAUCUAUUUUUUAUUCUUUUUUUUUCUUUUCUUUUCUUUUCUUUAGUGUGUUGUUUUUAUUUUCUUUCCCUCCUAUUUUUCUUUAAAUUUUCGACUGUGAUUCGUUUUUAUUUUUUAUUUCUAUUCCUAUUUUUGUAAACAAAAAAUCUCCAACAAUGAUGCAGUAGUCCAUCUCUUUCAUGGCAUGUGAUGCUGUAGUCCAUCUCUUUCAUGGCGUGUGAUUACCGCAUGAUAUGCUCAUCUUUUGGAAAAGUCUAUGUCUUUUAAGAGUGGCCGAAACAUUAUCUGUGAAUGCUGCAUUCUGCACUUUGAUGGACAUUGCCCGGAUGAGGGAAAAAAACACUUAUCUGUCAUUAAGCUGAAAAUUAAGCUCUUGGUUAGCAUAAAUGACUUUGUAUUCAUUUAAGGCAAUUUUUCCUUUUUUUUGUUUGAAUGCGUAGAAAAUGAGAAGAAAAUAAAAUUAGAAUGAAAGCUAAACAAACCAAAUCUUUCAUAAACAUCGAUGUAUAAUAAUAAUUUCGGUGACGUGUUCCUUACCUGAACCACACAUUGAAGUUGGGUGAAAAAACAGUAGGUUGCCUUCAUAAUGGCGCCAGCGGCUCAUCAGUACAGCCUCUGAGGCUAUGCCAGAUAUGCCAUCUGAAACCUGCCAUAUAGGACUGUCCCUCAGGGCCCCAUCCUCAUGCCAGCCUUAUCUAUUCAAAGUUAAUAAUAAUACAGUCACUGUUUUGUACGCCAGCAUGCGUGUCAAGAUGAUAGAAAAAUUUUCCAUCAAGCCCUCCACCGAAAUUGAAAUCUUAAUUUGUUCAGACACGGAGGGCUUUAGUGCCCCUCUUGUCUGUUCAUUUUCAUCGGUUCGGUAUGAUUAGUCAUCUAGUUUCUUCCACGUGUCUUUUGACGGGAGCAACUUAAUUAUUGAAGUAGUUCAUCAUAUUGUCUGAAAAUCAAUUUAUUAAUAGGCUAAUUUUUUUUUUUUUUUUUUUUUUGUAUGGUUGAAGUCGCUGAAACUUAAAAUAAUUUCAUAAUUAAUAUUAAGUUUAUGUUUGGUGAGUAAAAAUUACUAAAAAAAGAAAAAAAUAUUUAAAAAAUUAUGUUAUAUAAAAAAUAUAAAAAAAUCAAAUAUAAUUAAAAUUAGUUAUAAAAUUAUAUAUAUUUUAAAUUAUUUAAUUUUUAUAUUAAUAAGUUAAAUAAGUUUGAAGUAACAAAAAAAAAAAAAAAAAAACUUUAAAAUCUCUUUUUUUUUUUUCAAUUUAUUCUUUUCUUCUAUUUUUUUCUCUUUAUUUUUAUCUUUUCAUUUUCUCUUAAAUUUUCUAAGAACCAUGACCUAAGGGUUUACUUUUAGGAGUUGGCACCAAAUCCUAAACUAGUAAAGUCUUAGCCUUGUUUUAUAAAGUAAUAUCAAACCCCAAGUAACAUGAUCUUAGUUUACUUUUUGAAGUCAAUACAAAACACACCAAUUUCGUAUCUUUGCAAAUCUAACAAAUCUCCCACUCUCUACAAGAGGUCCUAAGGCGACUUAGUUUUAACAACUAAUUGACUAUUGAUUAGGUUAGUAUAAGUGAACCCAUGACUUGGUACCGAUACCACAUGCUUUGGUAAAAGCAUUAUGACCUAGUUUUGAUGUCAUUUGUUAUGAUAAAAGUGUUAAUCAUUAAAAGUUACUUCUCAUGAUAAACACAUUAAUCAUCUUAUCUAAUAAUCAAUCGGCUAAAAGCGUGAUCAAAUUAAACCUCUUUAUAUGAUUCAACUUACACCAAAUCAUCGAACUUUAAAUCUAAAUCACAUCGAAUCUCAAGUUCUGCAUCAAUCUUGAGCUUGUUCUUUGAAUCAUCAUUACUUAAAGAAUAGCAUAGUUAUAAAACAUAACUAAUCUCUCCCUUAACAUAGUUCUCCCAUAAGUUGAAUCUAUCACUUGUUAAGACUCCGAAGUAGAAAUUUUAAACAAAUCGCUUCCAAUAUGAUCACUACUAGAAUUUUUUCAUUUGAUCGUAUUUAAUAAGAUUAUUAUUAGAAAUUUUCACUUUGAUCAUUGUCAGUAAGAUCACUGUCAUCACUACUAGAUUUUUUCCUUUUGAUUUACCAAUCUCCCAUAAUUGCUUAAUCAUUGACUCAAAAAUGUUGGCUUGUUGAUGCUUUGGCUCAUAGGGAUGAUGAUCGAGGAGGAACAAGGCAUAACCGUUGGAAGGCAAACCUCAACUACUCACAAAUAACUUAUGCCUUACAUAUCUCUAAAAAUCAUGUCUCCUAUGCUAGAAAAAAAAACAUCUUAAGCUUAAUUAUCACUAUAUGUGCGAAAAUAUGACAAACAGAUUGCUCAUUACUAGACAUAUUCCUUUUAUUUCUCAAAUUGUUAACAUAUUCACCAAGUCUCUUCCAUGCCACUCAACUUUUUUUUUUUUCAGUUCACCUUAAGAGGUCAUUGCAUUCCUCUCUACGGUUUGAGAGUGCAUGAUAAGACACCAAAAUAGAAAGUUAAAACAAAUCAUUAUUAGAACAGAGCAUUAAAAAGCAUGACUUAAUAUAACAUAUUUUGAUUUUAUUAAUAAAUUUUGUUUGUUUAUGAUUUUGGUUCCCUUUACUAUCCUACUUGCUAAUUGGUUAUUAUGAGCAUUACUUGUCUAUCACUUGAAUUGUACAUGACUUGGUUGCAUUGAGAAUUAUAAAAAAAAAAAAUUCAAGUCAUAGGUUCCUUACAAGAUGAUAAGAAGUUUACAAUCAGUUCAUUAAUAUGGGCAAUCUAGUAGAAAAUAAUGCAUUACCUCUUAGUUGAAGGGAUUACUUAUCUUGAUCAUUGAGAUAGUUUUCCUAUUAUGAGUGCACUAGUGUGUAUAGUUACGCAUUAGAUGGAAUUUACAAUAAAUUAUGACAUUAACUAUCAAGUAGUCAUAAUUCACUAAGCUAUUAUACUACAUAAACUCUCAACCUUAGAGAAUAUUAGGCAUCUGUUGAAAUCAAUAAGAUACUUUGAUCUAUUGGUAAAAUCUUAAAGCAGUUAUAUAUUCCAUACAGAUUUAAUCACUGUUAAUGGAAGUUGGUCGCAAUAUGCAUUCUCGAUAGAGGCACUAUGACAUCAUAUGAGAUUGAAAUAAUAUAUCCCAUUAAGUAACCAUAAGUAUAUAUGAUUAGGAAAACUAUGAUUGUAGUAAUUCUUUAAGUAGAAUUUGACACAUGUCUUUUGUGAGUUAAAGUACGUCAAUUGAUUAGAGGAUCUGUAACUCAAAGAAUGAAAAGAUAAUCUUAAAAGAUUGAUAGCACAUGCCUCAUUAGAUUACAAACACCAGUUCAUAUGGAGUUUGCAUGCAAUGGAUAAUAGAUCAUAAAUACAAGCUUAAUUUGUCUCGUUGUAAUAUCAUAAGAUACAAAAAUGCGGUUGACUCUAUUUAGUAGAAUGUUGAGUCAACUUCAGAAUUAGAUUCUAAAAGAGUCAUUAUUUUCCUAUAGGUCUUAAUGAUAUUUGUCUAAGUUCUCGAUUCAAGGUGGUAUGUUUAUUUGAGGUUAUUUUAGGUUUGUAAUUCAUAAUUUUAAAGAUAUUUUGAUAAAAACGCAAGUUUACAUAUGAUCUUAUGAAUGAAAUCUCUAGACUGAGCUAAUUAAUUAAUGAAACUUAAUAGACUAAUUAAUUAAUUAGAACUUAAGUGGACUAAAUUAAAUAACUCAAGCCUAAGUUCAGCUAAAGUCACUUAAGUUCAUAGAAAAACCUAUAUAAACUCUUAGAAGUUUAAGGCUUCAACUUUUACCAUUGUCUUACAAACUCCAAAGAGCAAACCCUAACCUCUCUUCUAGAGAGAAAUCCACCCUUCUUUCGUGUCAAGAUUUGUGAAAUGAGUAGAAAAUCAAUCAGUUUAUGAGAUCUACAACGCCUAAGGAAUAUCUUCAUCAAAUUAAAUUUGAUAUGGAAAAUUGCAAGUAUAAGUUUUUAUCUUUAGAUUUAUGUCAUAUUAUGGUUUUGAUUGCUAUAGGUUUUCGUUAUGUUAAAUUUAAAGAACCUAAUAUUAGAUAUGCAUGCAUCCUACAAGAUUCAAGGUCAAAGAAUGAAGUAAUUUGAAGUUCUUAGUAAUCACUGCUAACAAGGUUACUAUCAUCAUUGCCAAAAAUAUUCCCUUUGAUCAUUGUCAACAAGAUCACUACCAGAAUUUUUCAUUUUGAUUAACCAAUCUUCCUUGUUAUUGCUCAAUCACUCUAAUUUCUAAAAUUCCUUCCUGGGCAGCAUUCCUUAAACAGCCUUCCGACGUCUAUUUUGAUGCACUUGUAUAUAUUGCCAUGAUUGAAAUAAGUCUAAGUUGGAAUACUUCUUAGUCCAUUCUCUUAUGCUUAUAUUGUUCUUUUAAUACUUGUUUACAAAUUCGUCAUCACUUGCCUUUCAUUUGUCAAAAAAAGUCUUAACCAUCUUAUUUGAAAAUUAAUUAACUACAUACAACAUCAAGCUAAACUUUUUUAUAUAAUUCAAGUGAUCACUUCAAAUGCGGUUAAAACAAACACCAACUCUUAACGCGAUCUUAUAAUUCGGUGCUUAUUUCUUAAGCCCAAUAUCAUGUCAAGUUAACACAAUCUCGACUUUUCUUCUCAAGUCAAUACAAUAUCGAGCUUAGUUUUCAAGUCCAACAUCAAAUCUCUAACAUAUCUAAUCAUAGGGGCUAAUACAAUCCCAACUUGCUUGUUUUGCAAACCUAAAACAAAAAAAUAGCUUUAAUUUUAUUAAAAUCCAAAUACAGCUCAUGGGAUUAAAUACCUCAAAAAAAUAUCUUAGCAAAAAUACAACCAUCCAACUUAUCAUCAAAGGGACAUUUGAAAGUAAGCACAAAAAGAAAAAAAAAAAGUGGUUUAUAACUAAAUUCCUUUCAACGUAAUGAUAAAAUGCAAAGCAAUUGUCAUGUCUGACUGAGACCUGAGAAGCACAAGCAGACUCCAGGACAAAAUCCAAUCAACGCAAUCUGCUAGAUGAAGGACCAAUGAGAUUAAAGAUCCAACCGAUUGAUCAGUAUCAUCCAAUGAGGUGGGACAUCUUACUGUUCAUCACGUGGUGUUUUUGGCCUUCAUGAUGGACCACCUAACCAUGGCUCCAUCCCAUUUUGAAAGAAUAUUGGACCACACAUCUUGUGAUUUCAUUUAUCAUAGAAAAUAUAUGAAAAGAAAUAUAUGGGUUGAUUCAUUGUAUUCAAAUUACGUCUUUUUUCUCUGUAUGAAAUCCAAGAAAUGGAAUCCACAAGUUCUUCCCAUGUUCCACACAUCUUGGUUGGCAUCAUCUUCAGAAGGAAACAAGAGCAAUAAAUCCUAGAAAAACGUGGAGAAAAUAUUUUCAAAUCCAUAACUAAGAAGAAAAGUUUAUCACGUAAUUUGAUUUGAAACAUUUGAAUGGACGAUUUUUAAAAGUUCUUUUGAGAAAAAAAAUCCAAACAAAAAUCGUUUUUUCAAAGAGAUGAUUUUUUUUUUUUAACUAUAGGUAAAAUUUGUCUUUUGAAGAAUUAAUUUCUAAAAUUUUUUUUAAAAAAAAAUCCAAAAAGCCAUGUUUGAAAUAAUUUUUUAAAUAUUAAUUAUAAAUAGCAUUUGAAAAUUAAACAUAAUUUUUUAGAGCAUUUGAUAUUUUAAAUAAAAUUUUGAAUCAUAAAAUUUAAAUUUUUUUAAUGUGAUGUAUCCGUCUCGUAAAAAAUAUGGACACUUGUAUUUUUCCUUACAUAUAAAAUUAUAGUUGUUUAUAAAAAUAAUUUAAAAUACACUUUCUAGAUGUAAAAUUCAAAUAAUUCCACAUUAAUAAUUACUUUUAAGUUUAUUAAUAAUACAAAUUAAGUUUAUUUUUUACACUAUUAAAAUAUUAAGAAUGAUAUUAUGAGGGUGUUUGAUAAAAUUUAAUAUUUAAUAUUUAAUAAUUUAAAUUGAUUUUAAGUUAAAUUAUAAUUAAGUUAUUGAUUUAAAAUGUACUAUUUAAUUCUUAUUUUAAUUAUUAAGGUUGUAUGAUAAAGUUAACUUAAAAUUUAUUCUAAAUCAUCAAAUUGAUAUAUUUAUUUUCAAAAAUUAUAACUAAGGAAAAAGAGGUUGAGUAACAAUGAAGGACAUGAAAUAACAAAAAAAAUCAUAUAGGUAAUUAAGAUAAAUAAAUGUAAAAAUAUAAAAUAAAGAUGUUGAUUUAAAAGCAAAAUAAUUAUUUUUACUUAUUAUUUAAAAUUAUUUUUAAUUUUAACUCAUACUGUUAAAUUAUUUUACUAUACUUAAUUAUUUAAAUUAAGUUAUUAAGUUACUUUAAGUUAUUAAAUUGAUUUUUCAAACAUCCACUAAUUCUAAGGAAUAGAGUCAUAUAAUAUGGUAUAUUGAUAAUGCAAGAACUUAAAUUGUUUGUCAAAAGACCAUCAAUGUAUAUCAAGUGUAAAUUUUGUAAUAAAAUAAUAUUAGUAAAAUUUGUCAUCCAUAACCCCUCAUAAAGUAAGGAUAUUUUUUAAAAUAAUUCUAAUUGAGAACCAUUUUAAAAAUAGUUCUGAAUUAUUCAAGAAUUAAAUACAAAUAAUGGUUUAUUAUAUAUUUAUAUACAAAGUAAAAGUUCAAUUAUUGUUAAGAAUACUACAUAAAAUAAUUGAAAAUAUCCUAAAUUAAUUUAUUCUAAAAAAUAAGUAACCUGUAAAAUAAAUUAUUAAUAAAGCUAUUUUCCAUCAAAAAUUUGGAAAAUUGUUUUCUAAUAUAAAGAAAUUAUUUUUUAAAAGAGUAUUCAAACCAACUUUAAAUCCCAAUGUUAUAUUUGUUAAGGGAGCAUGAUAUUCAUAUUUAACCUAAAUCAUGUAAAUUUAAAGCCUUAGGAAAAUUAAUAAGUCAAUAUAGUAUCAGAACUCUUGAUAAGAGGUCUCGAGUUAGACAAAUUUUCUAUAAUUUAUAUUUCUCAAAUUUGUAAGUCGGAUACCGAAUUCAAAUUCUAUUUCUCCUCCAAUUUGUAAUUUUGAAAAUCCGUAAAAUACACAUAUCUUGUUUGCUGGUUUAAGAUUAAUUUCAUUCAUCUUUUAUAUUUUAGUUAAAUACAUUUAAUUUUUAAAGGUUUAAAAUUUCAUCAUACACUAUUCUUAACCUAAAUCAUGUUAACUUAAAACUUUAGGAAAAUUGAUAGGUCGAUACAAUAUCAGAACUUGAUUUGAUAAGAAGUCUCAAGUUAGACUAUUUUUCCAUAAUUUAUAUUUCUCAUAUUUGUAGAUUGGAUAUCGAAUCUCAAAUUCUGUUUCUCCUCCAAUUUGUAAUUUUGAAAAUCCGUAAAAUACACAUGUCUUAUUUGCUGAUUUAGAAUUAAUUUCAUUCAUCUUUUAUAUUUUAGUUAAAUACAUCUAAUUUUUAAAGGUUUAAAAUUUUAUUAUACAGUUAUUCUUAAAGAAUUGAGAGAUGAAAAAUCAAAAUAAAUUUUUAUUUAAUAUUAUAUAUAAUCGAGAUAAAAUAAAAUCAUCUCCGAUUCUAAAAAUUUUCUCAAAUUUAUCCUAAAUUGGGUUACAUUUUUCUCAAAUUCGUUCUAUUUAGGUGAGAUCCGGCAAGGGGUGGCCAAAAAAAAAAAAUUGCCUUCUGGAAGGACAUGAAUUAUCUUGGAGGUGGGACCACCUUGCCCUCUCGUCGUUUGUGGAUGGUCUCACCGUUUAUGGAUUGAAAGGAAAGUUACAUCACAAUAUACAAAUCACGCGCUCUUAGAGAGGGGAAUCUUUGUGUCACAUCAGAAAAUAACCAUCUUAUCUUACCCACUUGUUAUCCAUCGACACGUGUUGUACUAUCGGACUUGAAAUAUGUUUAAAACGUUUUUGAUUUUGACAAUAAAAAACACAAAAAAAAAAAAAAAAAAGGUUUGAUAAGGAGUUGAGAAAAAAAAAUUCCUUUUCUUGAAAUAAAAAAUAAGGGAACGUUUUUUGAAAAUUAUUUUUUAAUUUUUAUAGAAUAAAAAUUUGUUUAAAAAUCUAAAAUAUUUUUAAUUAUGUUUUAAAAAUUAUUUUUAUGUAUAAUAUUUUAUUUUUAAUUAUUUCAUAUAUUUAUAUAAUUAUUUUUUAAAACAAUCAUAAACAAAUAAUAGAAAAUAAUUAAAAAAAUAUUAUCUAAAAUUGCCUCAUAAAAACAUAAAACAUGAAAUAAUUUUUUGUUGUCAAAUAUAAUUUUUUUUUGUUUAAAAGAAUAUAAAUUGUUCUAAAAAUAGUUAUCAAAUUAGUCCUAAGAUAUUUUUUAAAAACAUCACUUGUUUUUUUAUUAUCAUUUUAUAAAAUAAUUAUAUAAAUAUAAAAAAAUAAUUAAAAUAAAAAUAUUACAGAUAAAAAUUAUUUAUAAAACAUCAAAAAUAUUUUAAAUUCUCAAAUAAAUUUUUAUUUUACAAAAAACAUCGUACAAUAGUUUUUAAAAAUUAUUUUUAUUUUUUGAAAGAAUUUACCGAUCUUAAUAAUUUUCAAAGAAUUAAUUUUAUUCCUUGAUAUAUAAAUAUGCUAAAUCAUCAUUAAUUUUAAAUUUCAUACCCUUAUAAAUAUAACUUUUUCUUAUAAAGUUUAAUUAAUAAAUUUUAUUUUCUAAAAAAUAAAUUUUAUAGACAAAAUACAUAUAAAAAGUUACUUAUUAAUAAAAUUUGAAACUCACACUAAAUCCCAUAAUGAUGUAAAUGAAAUUAACUCUUAUUUACGAAGGAUUGGAGUGUAUGUUAUUUUAUAUUUAUGAAUUUAAAAAUAUGUUUUUGUUUUUGUUUUGUGAUCAAACUAUUUGAAUAUUUGGAAACAUUUACCUUCAAACAUUGUUUUUUAGUAUUUAAAGUGCUUUUCAAAUUUUAUUGUUAAUUAAUAAUUUCUUUUAUUUUUAAUAAAAAACCCUAAUAUAUUGACAAUACCCAACAAACAAAAGACACCAUUCAAGCACAUGUAAAGGGAGAUAUGGGGAGACCAACAUGAUAAGAAAGUGAACAAUUUUAGCUGUCCAACCCCACAUCAUCAAUGAAGUCAAUAAUAUUAUGCUUAAAUUUAUUGAGUUGUGCUUGCUUUCUUCAAUGUAUAAAAUAAUUUUUAUUUUGAAAAAUAUUAGACGGUGUGGUGAAUUUGAUAGAAAAAGUAAAAAAAUAAUAAUAUGGUGAUUGAAUUCUUUUGUAACAAAAAUGUGACACUUUGACAUUGUUUAGAAUUCCUAGCCUAAAAUUGAGUUGGGUCUAUUGGGCCCAAACCAUAAUGCCCGCAACCUAAAACUUCAAAACCCAAAGUUGAAACCUCAUUUUAUAAAACACGGUUUCAAAAUUUUAAAAUUUAAAAAUAAAAGUGCAAUCAAAGAUAUCCCAAAUUAUCGGAGGAUUCUACAUCUACAUAAAUUUUAGGAUUUACGUUGUUUGGUCGCUAAGAAUGGAAAUGAAACAAAAGUCAAGAAAACAAAUUAAGAGUAUGUUUGUCAAUGGUAUUGAAAAUAUUAAAAAUGUAUUUUAAAACUAUCGUCAAAUAUAUUCUAAGUUUUAUGUUAGUUUAUAAAUUGAACGGGUUAAUUUGGGUUGAUAGCUAACUUAAGCUCAAUCCAAAACAAGAAACAUUCUACUCAAUUUCAAUCCAACUCAACUUGUAUAGUGUCUAAGUGAUAAGUAUAGAGUUGAAUCUAAUUUUCAUAGAACAUGAAAACAUUUUCUUUUAUCUUAUUUUCGUUUAUUUUUUUCUGGAAGCAUUUUUCAAAUUAUAAAGUAGAGCAAGCGGUUGCCGCCUUGUUUAACAAGCCUUCCAAAGGGCGUGAGUGUUAUUAUCAUUUACUUUCUCUGAGGGUAUUGUUUGGUAGCUGAGAAAAUAGGCGAAACAGGAAACAAAUAGUUGACAAAACAGAAAAACAGAAACCCAAAUUUGUGUUGUUAUUGUCGGCAAUCAAUCAGAAUUUCAGGAGUAGCUCUUUGAAAUGAAAAGAUGCUACUCCACCUUCAAAAAACCGUUAAAUUCAAACCAGCUACAGCUCUUUUCACUUGAGUCCUGCAAAUCAAUGAACCAAAUCAAACAAACCCAUGCGCAUUUGAUCACCACAGGGCUCAUCCUACACCCGAUCACAGCAAACAAACUCCUCAAAGUGUUGAUAGCUUCGAGCUUUGGCUCUCUCUCUUAUGCCCACCAAUUGUUUGAUCAAAUUCCUAAACCCGAUGUCUUUAUUUACAACACCAUGAUCAAGGCUCAUGCAGUUAUACCCACUUCUUCGCAUAAUUCCAUGAGAAUAUUCCUAUCCAUGGUCCGGGUUUCGGGCUUUUUGCCCAAUCGAUACACGUUUGUUUUUGUUUUCAAGGCGUGUGGUAAUGGAUUGGGGGUUUUGGAGGGGGAACAAAUUCGGGUUCACGCCAUUAAAAUUGGAUUGGAGAGCAAUUUAUUCGUUACCAAUGCGAUGAUAAGAAUGUAUGCGAAUUGGGGCCUGGUUGAUGAGGCUAGAAGGGUGUUUGAUUGGAGCUUGGACCAGGAUUUAUACUCUUGGAAUAUUAUGAUUGGUGGGUAUGUUGGGUCGGGUGAAAUUGGUCGAGCUAAGGAAAUGUUUGAUGAAAUGAGUGAACGGGAUGUGGUGUCAUGGACUACUAUAAUUGCCGGUUAUGUUCAGGUAUAACACUGGAACCUGGUUUUACCUUUCAUUCAUUCACUGCCUGAAUUGUGUCUCUUUUUCUCUUUGGCGAAUGCUACACAAGUUGGCUUUCCAUUUUUUAGGUUAUGCGGGAAUUUCUUUUCACCAUGCCUAUUGUUGUGUUACUGAUUUUAACCAUGCUUUUGAUGCAUCAACAGAAAGAGCAACGCUAUUCACUUCGAAAAUACUCUGUUUGGCUUCUAUAAAUGCACAUGGUGGUUAAAUAUCUAUGAUUUCGAAUAAAAUUUUAUAGCUCAAUAAGUGUGUCAAAGAAGCAAACCAAAGAGCCUCUUUGGUAAAAAUCUCAUUUUUGUAAAAGGAAAUGAGCAGUUGUUGAAGUUUCAUAACAUGGAAUAUAGUUUCCAUUCAACAAUGGAGAACAUUUUUUGACAAAACUUUUACCUUUAGGUAGGUUGUUUUAAGGAGGCUCUGGAUCUCUUCCAUGAGAUGCUGCAAACAGGUCCCCCACCAAAUGAAUUUACCUUGGCAAGUGCCCUUGCGGCCUGUGCUAAUUUAGUGGCAUUGGAUCAAGGAAGGUGGAUACAUGUUUACAUUGACAAGAGUGAGAUCAAGAUGAAUGAGCGAUUGCUUGCUAGUCUCCUAGACAUGUAUGCAAAGUGUGGAGAGAUUGACUUUGCUGCAAAAGUUUUCCAUGAUGAAUAUGGUCUGAAACUCAAGGUUUGGCCUUGGAAUGCCAUGAUUGGUGGAUAUGCUAUGCAUGGGAAAUCCAAAGAAGCAAUUGAUCUUUUUGAACAAAUGAAGGUUGAGAAGGUUUCUCCUAACAAAGUCACAUUUGUUGCAUUAUUGAAUGCUUGCAGCCAUGGAAAAUUGGUUGAGGAGGGAAGAGGUUACUUUAAAUCGAUGGCAAGUUCUUAUGGGAUUGAGCCAGAAAUAGAGCAUUACGGGUGUAUGGUGGAUCUACUUGGGCGUUCUGGGCUCUUGAAAGAGGCAGAGGAGACUGUAUUCAAUAUGCCAAUGGCUCCUGAUGCUACUAUAUGGGGGGCACUACUCGGUGCUUGUAGGAUUCACAAAGAUAUCGAGAGGGGACAAAGAAUAGGAAAAAUCAUUAAAGAAUUGGAUUCUGACCAUAUUGGUUGUCAUGUUCUACUGGCUAAUUUGUAUUCUGCAUCUGGGCAAUGGGAUGAAGCAAAGGCUGUGAGACAGAAAAUUGAAGUUAGUGGUAGAAAGAAAACCCCAGGUUGUAGCUCCAUUGAGUUGAAUGGAGUGUUCCAUCAGUUCCUCGUUGGAGAUCGGUCUCACCCCCAAACUAAGCAGCUCUAUUUGUUCUUGGAUGAGAUGACUACUAAGUUAAAGAAUGCUGGUUAUGUUCCUGAAUUUGGAGAGGUGUUGCUUGACAUUGAUGAUGAGGAAGAUAAGGAGACGGCACUAUCAAAGCACAGUGAGAAGUUAGCUAUUGCUUUUGGGUUGAUCAAUACACCACCUGGAACCGCAAUACGCAUAGUGAAGAACUUGAGAGUCUGUGCAGACUGCCAUGAAGCAACAAAGUUCAUCUCCAAGGUCUAUAAACGGGAAAUAAUUGUCAGAGACAGGAUUAGGUAUCACCACUUCAAAGAUGGAUUCUGUUCUUGUAAAGAUUACUGGUGAAGACAUACAAAAGGAUGUCAGUGCUCCUCCAUACAUAACCUGGGAAAGUUUGGUUGAGGACACGACAAGCUAAAAAACACAUGUGGUUGCAGAGAUGGCUAUCUGUUGAGACUGUUUUUGCAUUGGCUCUCACUUAAGGAGUUGAAUUCAAGUUGGUCAUCAGUGAAGCAGAUCAUUCUAUUCAAAUUUUAGCCGAGGGAGCUACUUCGAGAAGUUAGGUAGCAGAUCCUGAAACCAAUAAAGAAUAGACCCUGAAGCAGGCAAGCGAGAGCACGGUUGUGAUCGAGAAUUAUUUGGUGCAUGAAACAUACCAUAUAUGUGUUCGAUAUCAUUUAUUUUCAUGUUGAGUUCCAAAUCUUCUCAAGUAUUCUUUUUCUUCUUUCAAACAGAGAAGAAACUGGUAUCUGUUACCUUUGCCAAUUCUGGAAUUAUGUGUAUGUGGGCUUUUCUCCUUGCUGCCCAAAUUCUGUGUUCUGGUCUCCAAAAUGUUGAUGGUUUAUUUCACCCUUUGCCUUGCAGUUUGAAGUUCUGGAUUCUUAGCAUUUUUAAUCUUUGGUUCAUUUUUCUCUGUGUUUUCUUUUCUUUUCCUUUUUGCCAAAUGGUCAUACCAAAAGCCUCUUUCACCUAAUUAAAUCACCUGAAAUGAGCCCAUAGACUAGCAUCUUCUGAAUAAGUGCAGCUGAUCCCUCUCCUCCUGCUGUUCCCCUGCCCCAUCAGUCACCUUUCUGGGUUUAAAACCCCCUUUUCUCCAACUCCUGUAAUUUCUAUUUAUCUUUGAGCCAAAAGUGAACCCAUCUUCUCCAUGACUGGGGAACCAUCUUCUUCCCUCAAAUCAUCAAAAUAAAAAAUUGGGUUUCCCAUUGAGAAACCAGAGCAAAGAGGGACCCUCUACAAUGCUGAAUUUGAAGUAGUAUAUUAAAAUAAUAAUUCAUUUAAAAUUUAUUUAUUUCUUUUUCUCAAUCUUUUUGGAAAUAAAAGAUAAUCUAAACAAUUUUUUAUUCUAAUUUUUUUAAUAUUCAAAUAUAUAUAAACUCCAUUUAAUUUUAUUUUCCCCACGGCUUUUAAUUAAAAAUUCAAAUAAAAUAUUCUGUAAAAAAUGAUAUGAAAAUUAAAUGCAUUCAUAAUUCUAAAAAAAAAUGUUUUUUUUAACAAAUAAUUUAAGAAUACAGGAGUUAGACACUUUCGUUUUUUUAUUACAAUUUUUUUUUGAAAAUCCGCGCCAAUCGUCUACGGACGACACCACCGUGGAGCCGAGCUCCAGUUCUGUAGCUUUAUUCCUUGUUUGGCAAAACCCCCAAACCCUAAAAGCCCAAAGUCCUAGCUCUUUUUUCUCGGGUGAAUUUUCUCGGCAUUUCCAUGGAAACUGGGGGUAGCAGUGAAAUCCCUACUGAGCCAAAGAAGACCAAAUCCAAGACAGCUAGAAAGCCCAAAGAAAAUCCUCUCAAGCAGAGUAAGUCUUUUAUUCUAAUUCUCAUUUAUUUUGCUUUUGCAGAGUGUUUGGUUCCUGAUAAAAUAGGGAGGGAAAAAAGGAAACUGUUUAUCUAGUUGUAGCUUGCUGGAAAUGUUUCAAUAGUAAGAAAAAUAGAAAUCCAAAAUAGAAAUUUCGCAUGUUUUGUUUUUCUCUGUUUUCCCGGCAACCAAACAGAAGUUGUAGAUUCUGUUUGAGUAACUGUUUUUCUUCUUGUAGAAUCUCCCGCGGAGUUCUUUGCAGAGAACAAGAACAUUGCUGGAUUUGACAAUGUAAGUUCCAUACUCAGAUUUGAAUUUUAUUUUUAUUUUUUAGUUCUAUAAAUGUUUUAGUUCCAAAAUAUGUGUUUUGAUCUCUGUGUAAGCUUGUUUGUGUAAUAUCACUUCGAGAAUCAAAUUUGGGGAUUGUAUGAGGAAUGAUGCAAAACUUUUGUUAAAAUUCUGCAAGUAGUCAUGACUGAAAAUCAUUUGGUGGUAUCACAAUUAUUUGGAGGCGGCUGGGCCAAAUCGAGGUCAGAUUAGGUUGGAAAACAAUUCUUUGUAUAAAAAAAUGAAGAGUGUGAUGUUGGAUGGCAGUGAUAGAAUUAGGCAACUAUUUGCCAAAUUUGUGUUGUGUAUUGAAUAAUGGAAUCACUGUGUUCGCUGAUUGUAACCAUUCAAACGCGCCCAAACUAAAUUCAUAAGAAAACUUAGUUGAAAAUUUCUGCUGUGAAUUUAGUCACAAUUCCAUAAAGGCAAAUAAUAGGAAAAAGUCACUAAGUUCAGUUGUGUUAUUGAGUAAGAUAAGAAUUUGUUGAAAUUUCAGCUAAAUAUUAGAAAAACUUAGAAUGAAGGAA
rnacentral:lncRNA from 1 species